AUAGAAGCGAAGAAAGAACCGAAGUAGAGACAUCUUCCCUGGCCCAGAGAGCGUGUGGUGCUGCGAACACGCCCAAAAGAUGAAUCGAAUUACAGUUCCUGAGCUCUCAUCAUUGAGCGGUCCCCCGUUAUCGGAUCAAGCGGCUAGAUAUUUUUCUAGCAACCAGGGUGGUACCGCGGCUUUGUCGUCCCUAUC
rnacentral:ncRNA from 1 species